GGUUUCAUUGUGGGUCAGUAAUUAGUAGUAGUGAGGCCCAGCAGGUGCAGAGAGUUCCAUUUGGGCAGUAACAUCAGUAUGAGGCAGAGGUUGGUGUAGAGUGAGGGAUGGCAGUUUUCAGUACCCGUGAACAGGUAAAGCGGCUGUAUUUGUUUAGGAAAGCAUGCUCUUAGGAAUCCAGUCAUAUCCAGGCACAGGGAUUAACCGAAAAGACUAAAAAACUUAAGAAGUAAUUUCCCUGAAUGUUUGGCCGGUCCCUUCGGAGGAUUCCAGUGCAGUCGGUCCUGGGGAACGUGGGCGGAGCUGUCCUACUGGCUGAGCGGAUCCCACGUGGGGACUGACAGGUUUAGCAGAAGCAUCACACCGCUCUUUACUGAGCAUUCCUCUCUCACCCGCCGCUUCUCUCACCUUCUACUUCCCUCCCUCCUUUCUAUUCCCCAAACACCGUUCCGGUCCCUCCCCCGCUCCCACCAGCUCUCACUCUGCCUCCGGCACCCGGCGGACUAGCUGAGCGUCCCCAGCAUGGAGCCAACCCGGCCUGUGAAAUUCUAUCAAUUUGCUGCCUCCGCCACAAUCGAGAGCACACAAUAAUUGGUGGGAAUUUCCUGCUCGGGGCUGAUCAUCGUCUGCUAAGCACUCUUGUUUCUCGGUCGAAGGCAGAUAAACAGAUUAUUCCAUCUAUUCUAGCCCAGAACUUCUGCGGGGGGAACUGAACAUUGAAGUGUGUCCAGUUUGGUAUAUUUUUUUAAUUGAUCAUUCAGCGUGACAAGCUCAACCUAAACCUCUGCAUUUCAGAUCAAGGUUUGGAAUGGAUGCGAUGCUGGACUUUUGAAGGACAUUUUAAACAACAUUCAGAAUCCAGCUAACAAACCAGGAUCAGAGUAAACGAACACACGGCUUGAAGCUUGCAACGCCUCGGGACUUGAUCAGAGCCUCUCUGCUGUCCAAGUACAUCUGUGGAUACCGGGCUAGCCAUCCCUCCUUAACGAGGUGAGGAGGAUCCCGCGAGAGCUGCGACCGAAGGGAGAGACGCUGCACUAUCAAGAAGGAGCUUGGAGAGAGUGUUGCAGUGGGGAGUAUUGCUGAAUCUUUUGCCAGAAAACUCUCCUUUACUGAAGCACCAAUCCUCUUACAUGAAUGGACCCUGUGAGUUUUGGUGAACAGUGCAUUUGAAGAUAUUGAUUGUCUACACUGAAUCCUUGAAAUAAG